UGACUAACAUAACAAGGCGAUACUGGCGAUAACAAGUGAAAUUUUUGGUUGGCUGUUGAUAUACACACGCACAAAUUCCAAUAACUAAAUCAUCCACGGAAAAAGAAGUUCCACGUUUAGGAGUAUAUUUGUAAUGAAGUGCAGGAGGCGAAGCGCCCGUGUGUCCUUUCAAAAAGUUAGCACGCGUUGGUGACCAUAAAAAGUUAGGUUAUGUUAGCAACGGCUGCAAUGCUGCAAUUAAAGAAUGCACGAAUGCGAAAUUUAACAAAUUUUUGUGGCAAAAGGAAGCAUUUGCAUAACAUUUGAAGAUGAGGAAUGUGAUCAAAAGAUGCUGUAGAAGAGCUUUGCACAAACAGUUUGUGCGAAAUCGAGAAGCGCGUGUUCUGCGCGAUGUUACGGAGUUAGAUAAGCGCAAAUGUAGUUCAUUUUCAAACUGUUUUUCAGAAGUUGAAGGCGCAUUGAUGACCAGUGGGACCAAGGGCCUUUGGUGGUUAAAUAUGCCUUUAUAUACAUGGACACCAGAUGCAUGUGCUUAGAAAGAUGAUUUUUGAUUAAGAACUCAGAGCAACAGUAUCUUUAAUGGUGUAUACAAAUUUGACAAACAACGCAUUUUAAUGUCUGAUAACUACAUUUCCUAUCCAUCAGUUCUACUUCAUGAAACUACAUUAUCACAACUUAUCUGGGUGGCAAGUUUAUGGGACUUACUGACCAAAAGGUCAUGGUGAAUAGCUGUAAGUCAUAAAGUAGAUGAAAUUCUUGACCAAGAUGUAUCCUUCAGUAGUUUCUUCAAAGUGUCUAAAUAUGUUUCCAGCCCUCUAUUGGUUUACCACCAAAAUAUUUGUAUUUCAAAGAUCUGUGCAAAGAUUUGGCGUGCAUGUUGGUGUUAAUGCCUGCGUUCUUUUGAUUACACUGGGCCUAUGACUUCAUGCGCUCUUUAUUUUGAAAGUAGCAUUCCAAUAUGUAGCUGUAACUAUCAUCUGUCAUGAAAUAAUUGGGUACCAAAACCGAUAUUAAUGAUUUUAUUUCACCAACCAGAACCUCUUAUAUGUUGGUGUCCUUUCAGUUGGACAGAAUAAAUGUUACUGGAUAAUCAAUAUUUUUAUCAUCUAACACAUGGACUUGUGGUCAAUUCAAUGUCAUAGAGGUUUGUCCCAUGUGUGCCAUCUACACAAAUGAUUUUGGCGCCAUAUUUUUUUAACAUAUACUCCAGCCCACUGUACAUGGAAGCUAAUGCAGUCAUUUUUGUGCAAUUUUUCAUGUUCUGAUGCACAACAAGAUUUUCCUUACUUCAUUUACCAGAUAUAUUAUUUUUUCUGCAAUGUGGGGAAUGUCUUUCAUAGUCAGAAGAUUAAAUCUGGUACAUGAACUGAGUUCUAGAUUUUUAACAGUUUCAAUUAUUUUUUCGUGUGUUAGACCAGUGCGAAUUUGUUCAACUAGAUAUGUCGUUUCUUUUGUAGUCAGGGGUUGACAGCGAAGAUCAUUGU